GGUGAGGUGGCUGAGUAAGCGUUAGACUGUAAAUCUAAGCACGGGGGUAGGUCCCUCCUUCACCA